UAAACAUACCGAGCAGCAGUAGCAGAAGCUAACAGCCCUCGUGCUGUGUGUUUGGAUCCACAGGUAUUUAUACGUAGCUCAGCCGCUCAGUGCACGCUGCCUGAGGGGCUCAUGCUGCCGGACCAGAGACCCCUAGCUCUGGCGCCGGUAACAGUAUCAGACUCACAGAUUCUUGACUUUUGUGGAAGACUAAAGUAAGUGCUGUAUUGACACAAAUCCACCACUAGAUGUCCUGAAACUCCAUGAAACAAUUCAGACAGCCUGGCAGAUCACCUGCCCUCGAGAUUUUCUGAACACACGUAAUGGAGAAUUCAGUGACAUUUCAGGUUUAGUUGCUUCUUCUGUCAAUGCUUGCCGAGAUAUUUUACAGGUAUAACAUCAUUCAUUUGUAAAUACCAAAAGGUAGAGAAACCUGAAGUUUUGAGUACUAAUAAUGUAAUGUAAUGCUCUGUGACUGCCAGCAGGAAGUUGUUUUACCAUUCUUGGAGAGAGACAACUUUUCUUUACAGUUAUUCUAAAUCUCUUUGGCUCAUUUGUCAAAACAAAAUGUAACACAACUGCGAGCGUGAACUGUCGCGAAACAAGAGCCCGACUUAUUAAUGUUAUUUUAAGGAAAAGCAUUUCCAGGUAUGUGUGUCAUGGUUGGCCGUCACAUGUGGUCAAUCAUUCUGACAGAAAAUGUUUUUUUAAAGUCAUUUAAAAAUGUGCAUCCUGGGAGCUGCAGUUCAAAUAUAACAGGCCGACUUGAACCAGCAGACUUGUUAUGCUUGUUUUAAAUAAACCGUUGAAAUGGUUUGUUUUACUUGUUUACGUAAAAUUAUUGGGACAUUGGAAAAAGGGAGUCCUAUUUGUGAUCAGGUUUUCCCCUAGGCCUGGUCCUAACAUAAACAUUUAGCAAAAGAAAAAUGUGAAAGUGAAAACUUGCCUUCCACUCACCAACAUAAAGUCAUAAAAGGGGACAAACACAGUUCAAAUCAGUACAGAUGUGAAAAAGAGGAAAAAAUAUAUAUACAGUAUACAAGAAACCAAUAAAACGGACACUGACACCUGUUUUUUACUGUUGCUGUGGAUUAAAAGCUUAGUGGUCACUUUGUGGAGUUAAAAAAAGACUUACUGCACUUGGAAUGAAGGACGUUAUCUUUAUAUACAUGUUUAGUUGUAGCGCCUUCCAGAGCUCAGAGGCUGAACCUGACUGAGGAAGGGAGGAGAGCUCUCUGCCGGGAUACUCCUCACUUUUUCCUCCCGCUCUUUCUGUAAAGUGGUGAGUCAUUUGGGGUUUACCAUGUAUUUUUGGUUGCUGUUGAUCCUCUCUCAUUGUAGAAAGCUUGUUUUUAGUCUUGUUGUUGAGGAAAGUGGAAAGUUAUAAGACUUUCAACAAGUUAUUUGGACACCAGUACUAAGAUGUUCUCACACCAAGGCCCCUGAGCUUUCUCAGUAGACGUCGGUGCUGAGAGCGUUCUGUGUUUUCAGUGAAGCUCAAUCCAAGACUUUCGCAGGAUGUUUAAAAUGUUGUACAGUUUUUCUUUGCUCCCACUUUCAGGAAUAUUACAGAGAUGUGCAGUGAAAUCAUUUCUAGAUCUUGACAUGUUGUAAUCAUAGGUGAAAUACUAGAACUUUUAAAUCCCAGAUGCCUGUGAAUAAAUGUGUUGUGCCUUUUGUA